rnacentral:snRNA from 1 species
GUGCUCGCUCUGCUUCGGCAGCACAUAUACUAAAACUGGAAUGAUACAGAGAUCAGCAUGGCCCCUGCACAAGGAUGAUUUUUUUUAUCCUCAGCCAAACAUAUGUUUA